GCGUCACAGCUAAACAAUUCCUAUACUAUAAUUCCUAACAAACAAAACCCUUUAACACUACCGAGUUACUCUAUACACCUAUAGAAUCAUUUAUGUUAAGACUAGUAGCAAGAAACAACCUUCUCUUCCAAUGUAAGUGUAAAUAAAACUUCCCACAAAUUUAACAUCCUGAACAAAAUGUAAUAACUACACAAGAAAAUACUACUAAACACACUGUUAAUCUUACACAAGAACAUUUCAAGAAAGAUUCUAAGAAAAAGAAGGAACUCGGCAAACCCCGAUUCCGCCUGUUUACCAAAAACAUCGCCUCUUGAAAAUAUAAGAGGUCCUGUCUGCCCAGUGACCCUGUUCAACGGCCGCGGUAUUUUGACCGUGCAAAGGUAGCGUAAUCACUUGUUUUUUAAUUUAAGACCUGUAUGAAAGACCUCACGAGAAUCGCACUGUCUCCUUUUUCUAAUCAGCGAAACUAAUCUUCUCGUGAAAAAACGAGAAUCACCCUAUAAGACGAAAAGACCCUGUGGAGCUUCAAACAACAUAACAGCUAAUAUUCUUCCUAAACCCAUAGCAUGAUUAUAAGUUUUUGGUUGGGGUGACCUCGGAGAAAAAUUUAUCCUCCGAAAUGAUACAGAAUAUUCCUUAAUGUGGAAUCACAACUCUACAUAUCAGUAUACUGACAUAAAUUGACCCUUCUUGAUCAACGAACCAAGUUACCCCAGGGAUAACAGCGCAAUCUACUUCAGGAGUACCUAUCGACAAGCAGGUUUACGACCUCGAUGUUGGAUCAGGGUAUCCCAGUGGUGCAGCCGCUACUAAAGGUUCGUUUGUUCAACGAUUAAAACCCUAC
rnacentral:rRNA from 1 species